rnacentral:lncRNA from 1 species
AGCAUUCUCAUCAACCCCUAAGUUCCAAUUCUAAUAAUUAUCCACCCAAGAGCCCAUAUUCGCCAUAUUAAAAGAAGAAGUAAUGCAAACAUCAUACAUAAGUGGAAAAAGCUCGCUCAAAGUAGUUGAACCCAACCAACAAUGAUUCCAAAAGAUAAAAGACUCGUCAUUCCCCAAUUUGCAAGAGAUGUUAUUGGAAAACCACGAAUGACCAUGAACUUUGAACCCACACACCGCACUCACAUACCUUCACCAAAGAGAGGAUUUC